AGGAUUUUCUGCUGGAGGAUCCCGUGUACCAGCUCAGUGUCGAGGAGACACGGAGACUCUCCACACACAGAUACUCGGCCUGGCUGGACCAGACGCCAACACACUGCAUCAUCUGCCUGGAGGUGCUUGUGGAGGGAACAGAGAUGUGCACAUUGCCCUGCACGCACGCACACUUCCACGCAGCCUGCAUCCACACCUGGCUACAGGAGAGCGGCACGUGUCCGGUGUGCCGUGCCCUCGUCGUCUUACACUGAGGAGGAAGCUGCAGCUCCAACCUUCAAGUCUCCCUCACCACCCAGAGUCUCACCACCCAGUGUCUCUGUGUCUCACUACCCAGUGGCUCAGUGUCUCAGUGUCUGUGUUAGACCACCAGUGUCUCACUACCCAGUGUCUCAGUGUCUCCCUACCCAGUGUCUCACUACCCAGUGUCUCACUACCCAGUGUCUCACUACCCAGUGUCUCACUACCCAGUGUCUCACUACCCAGUGUCUCAGUGUCUCAGUGUCUCACUACCCAGUGUCUCACCAUCCAGUGUCUCAGUGUCUCACUACCCAGUGUUUCACUAGCAGUGUCUCACCACCCAGUGUCUCACCACCCAGUGUCUCACUACCCAGUGUCUCAGUGUCUCAGUGUCUCACUACCCAGUGUCUCACCAUCCAUUGUCUCAGUGUCUCAGUGUCUCACUACCCAGUGUUUCACUAGCAGUGUCUCACUACCCAGUGUCUCACCACCCAGUGUCUCACCACCCAGUGUCUCACUACCCAGUGUCUCACUACCCAGUGUCUCACUACCCAGUGUCUCAGUGUCUCUGUGUCUCAGUGUUAGACCACCAGUGUCUCACUACCCAGUGUCUCUGUGCUCAGUGUCUCACUACCCAGUGUCUCACUACCCAGUGUCUCACUACCCAGUGUCUCUCUACCCAGUGUCUCAGUGUCUCAGUGUCUCAGUGUCUCAGACCACCGUCUCAAAGGCGACCAGCGCAAGGGCAAUGCCACAGCAUCACGGCUGGCUCAGUGUGAGCAGCAGAUGAACUGUGGGGGUGGGUGGUUUACGAGAAUUCUAGUAACAAUAAUGAUGGUGGUGGUGGUGACGAUGAUGACGAUGAUGGUGACGACGAUGAUGAUGGUGGUGACGAUGACGGUGGUGACGAUGAUGAUGGUGAUGAUGAUGGUGUUGGUGACGAUGAUGAUGGUGUUGGUGAUGAUGGUGAUGAUGAUGGUGGUGAUGAUGAUGGUGGUGACGAUGAUGGUGGCGAUGAUGAUGGUGAUGAUGAUGGUGUUGGUGACGAUGAUGAUGGUGUUGGUGAUGAUGGUGAUGAUGAUGGUGGUGACAAUGAUGAUGAUGGUGACGAUGAUGAUGGUGACGAUGAUGAUGAUGGUGUUGGUGACGAUGAUGAUGAUGUUGGUGUUGGUGACGAUGAUGAUGGUGGUGACGAUGAUGAUGAUGAUGAUGGUGUUGGUGACGAUGAUGAUGGUGGUGACGAUGAUGAUGAUGGUGGUGAUGAUGAUGGUGGUGACGAUGAUGGUGAUGGUGGUGAUGAUGAUGGUGGUGACGAUGAUGAUGAUGAUGGUGGUGACGAUGAUGGUGAUGGUGAUGAUGAUGAUGGUGUUGGUGACGAUGAUGAUGAUGAUGGUGGUGAUGAUGGUGGUGAUGAUGGUGGUGACGAUGAUGAUGGUGGUGUUGAUGUUUGUUAGCCCCUGCCUCUGGUGAGACAGGCUGCUUCAAACACAAAACAAGAAAGUAGUACAUAGUGUAGUACAUAGUGUAGUGUGUAGUGUAGUGUAGUGUGUAGUAGUAUAGUGUAUAGUGUCAUGUAGUGUAGUAUAUAGUAGUGUAGUGUAUAGUGUCAUGUAGUGUAGUGUAUAGUGUAGUUUAUAGUGUAUAGUGUCAUGUAGUGUAGUAUAUAGUGGUGUAUAGUAGUGUAGUGUAUAGUGUCAUGCAGUGUAGUAUAUAGUGUAGUUUAUAGUGUAGUGUAUAGUGUCAUGUAGUGUGGUGUAUAGUGUAGUGUAGUGUGGUGUAUAGUGUAGUUUAUAGUGUAUAGUGUCAUGUAGUGUGGUGUAUAGUUUAUAGUGUAGUGUAUAGUGUAGUGUAUAGUGUAGUGUAUAGUGUAUAUUGUGUUUCAAAAUGAUGGACCCAAUUUCAAAUCAGUCUUGCCAAUGACUGAGCCCCGGGGCUGUUUGUGCGCUGGGAGGUCAUCACUGUGACCUCUACA